AGACUGUAGAAUCUCUACAGGUAAGUGUGUGAUUUCUUUAGCGACAUCACAUUUGCCUGCAGAGAUUUUCCAGUCU
rfam:Myotis lucifugus cont2.5059, whole genome shotgun sequence.